rnacentral:pre_miRNA from 1 species
AAUGAGAUAGCUGGGUCAAAUGGUGGUUCCAUUAAAAGUUUUCUGAGAAAUCUCCAUAUUGUUUUCCAUAAUGGUUGCACCAAUUUCCAUUCUCACUAGCAAU